UACGUAGGUGGCAAGCGUUGUCCGGAUUUACUGGGCGUAAAGAGCGCGCAGGCGGUCGUCCAAGUCGCGUGUGAAAGCCCCCGGCUCAACUGGGGAGGGUCACGCGAUACUGGUCGACUCGAAGGCAGGAGAGGGUAGUGGAAUUCCCGGUGUAGUGGUGAAAUUCGUAGAUAUUCGCAAGAACACCAGUGGCGAAGGCGGCUCACUGGCCCGAUACUGACGCUGAGGUGCGAAAGCGUGGGGAGCAAACAGG
rnacentral:rRNA from 1 species